rnacentral:rRNA from 1 species
UACGAAGGGAGCUAGCGUUGUUCGGAAUCACUGGGCGUAAAGCGCACGUAGGCGGAUGUGUCAGUCAGGGGUGAAAUCCCGGAGCUCAACUUCGGAACUGCCUUUGAUACAGCACGUCUUGAGUCCGAUAGAGGUGGGUGGAAUUCCUAGUGUAGAGGUGAAAUUCGUAGAUAUUAGGAAGAACACCGGUGGCGAAGGCGGCCCACUGGAUCGGUACUGACGCUGAGGUGCGAAAGCGUGGGGAGCGAACAGGG